rnacentral:lncRNA from 1 species
CCCAAGAGCCACUAGCCACAGUAUUUCAUGACAGGAGACCAACAGGAGCCAGUGUUUAGAGACUGAAGUUCUGGGAUGGGAACACUGGCCCCAACUCCAGACACAGGGCAAUGAGGCAUCCGGCAUUUACUGAACACCCAGCAGAAAGAUUCUUCUGGAUGGGCCUGACCUAAUCAGGUGAGCCUUUAAGAGAAGGUGGAGUGUCAGAGGGAAGCAUUCACUCCUGCUGCUCCUGAACACCCUGCUCCCAUAAAUUCUACAGCUGCAAGAAAGGAGUUCUGCCAAAAAACACAUACGCUUGGACCCCAAGCCUCAGAUGGAACCUCAGCCCCAGAAACACAUUUAUUUCAGCCUUGUAAGCCCUCAAGAAGAGAGUCCAGCUACACUCUGGCAUGACUUAUGACCUACAGAACUGUGAGAUAAUAUACCUGUGUGGUUUUAAGCUGCUAAAUUUGUGGUUGUUUGUUACACAACAAUAGAAAACUAAUAUGAUAUUAUUAAGGGCAGCCUUCCAUGUAAGAGAAAGCUAUGUAACUAUGGCUAGUUCCUCAGUGUGCCUGAGCCAUUGUGAAUAAUGCCGACUUCUCUCUCUCUCUCUCUCUCUCUUUCUCUCUCUCUCUGGGUAGGCCAGGCACGGUGGCUCACACCUGUAAUCCCAGCACGUGAGAAGGCCAAGGCAGGAGGCUGAGGUGGAAGGAUCACUUGAGUCCAGGAGGUCAGGGCUACAGUGAGCCAUGAUCACACCACUGCACUCCAGCCUGGGUGACAGAGUGAGACCUGUCUUAAAAUAAAUAAAUAAAUAAGCCAAGCUCAGUGGCUCAUACUUGUAAUCCCAGCACUUUGGGAGGCCAAAGUGGACAGAUUGUUUGAGGCCAGGAGUUUGAGACCAGCUGGGCCAACAUGGAGAAACCCCGUCCAAAAAUACAAAAAUUAGCUGGGAGGAUGUGGAGGUACAAACCUGUAUUCCCAGCUUCUUGGGAGGCUGAGGCACAAGAAUUGUUUGAACCCAGGAGGCAGAGAUUGCAGUGAGCUGAGAUCACGCCACUGUACUCCAGCUUGACUAAUUCAAGACUCUGUCUCAAAAUAAUAAUAAUAAUAAUUUCUACCAGGAGGCAGAGAUUGCAGUGAGCUGAGAUCACGCCACUGUACUCCAGCUUGACUAAUUCAAGACUCUGUCUCAAAAUAAUAAUAAUAAUAAUUUCUACCAGGAUUCUGGAUGCGUCACUUGACUUCACUGUGCCUGACUUUCUUUGUUAUAAAAUGGAUCUGAUGUUCACCUACUUCGCCUUACAAAGAUGAUGGAAAGGACAAGAGGAUAAGAGAGAGAGAGUAAUUCCGCACCUCAAAAGGAAAAUGAACAAAUUCGAGUCCAAUCCUUUCUUUUUGUGUAACUCUGUCAUAGACACGGACCGUUUUGUCUGCUGGGUAAACACUGCAUCAACACAGUGCAUUUGGAGAGAAUGGUUCCGUCGUUCCACUCCAACUUCAUGGUUGAUGGGGCUCCAACCUUGGCCACUCUUGAUUGGUUUAGGGAUGAUACCUGACCUUUCUGAGCCAAUCGGAAUCUUGCCUUGUGAUUCUAGAACUGAGAUGGCAAAGUCAGUUUCUUUUCAGUAGCUGAAAAUGAAGUCAUGUAAACUCCUAAGUUCAUCUGAGGCUAAGCAGGGCUGUUUGCUCCAAUAUUCCAUCAUCCAGGCUGAGGAACAAAAAUAGCAGGUUGGCCACAGGAAAGAAGGAUGAGGCCAAAAGAGGUACACAAGGCCGGGCGCCAUGGCUCACGCCUGUAAUCCUAGCACUUUGGAAGGCCAAGGCGGGUGGAUCACUUGGGGUCAGGAGUUCGAGACCAGCAUGGCCAACAUGGUGAAACCCUGUGUCUACUAAAAAUACAAAAAUUAGCCAGUCUUGCUGGGGCGUGCUUGUAGU